AUGCUCAUGGUGAAGACCAGGGCUCCUCUGAUGAGAGCAGCAGCCAUCCCCAGCAACAGCGAGGCCCCGAGCCCCUUCUCCCAUGAGAACAGCCAAGUUCGCAUCAGGAAAACCAACCACAGCAAGCUUCUCCUAGAAAAUCAACAGCCCACAUCUUCCCCUCGAGUUCUCCUUUUAUGCUGUUGGGAACAAUCCUCAGAAUGAGAAAGCCAAUGAAAAACUUUCACAAGGAAAAGCUAGACUGAUGUCUCAAACUGAAGACCCUAUACUCAACACUCUCAAUCUGCUGCCUCUGGGGACCGAGUUUCGAUCUUGCAUGGAUGAUGUAGGCAAGAGGGCUAGGCGGAGGGUAACAAGUAAACUCUUGUGAAGAGAGAGAGAAGAGUGAAUGCAAAGUCAUGGCUUCCCCUCUGUGGUGAAGCCCCAUGCUUCCUGAGUUAAUAGAGAUAUUGUUCCGUGAGUGUGUGAAAAAGAUAAAGGCUACUUUGCUACUUUUUCUUAUAAUUUUGUGUAAUUUUCUACCUGUUUUUAGAGUAUGAAUGGAUUUAUUUUCUAUAAGACUAAUUCAGUUCAAUUUUCUGACCGAGAUUGGGUUUGAUUUUGAAGUUACUCUAUUAACUAAAUAAUCCUCAGAUGAAAAAUAUGGCAAUUCCAACAAAAGAUGCUCUCUCACACUGGUUUUACUACUUAAAGGUAGCCUCACGCCAUGUUAAAAUUCAUUUGCUGCCCAUUUUACCACAUAACCUGGUGGAUGUUAAAGUUCACUAUAUAGACCUGAUUAAUUAAUUGGAGAAAAAUGUAGCUUCUUAUCCUGACAUUAUGAGGUUAGAAAUAGCAUCCUAUGCUAAUCUGCAAUGCCAAGAAAUGAAGAUGGUUUAAAUCAGAUCUCAUGACUAAUGCAUAAGAUC
rnacentral:lncRNA from 1 species